rnacentral:rRNA from 1 species
GUCUAUGGCCACGUUACCCUGAACAAGCCCGAUCCCAUCUGAUCUCGGAAGCCAAGCAGGGUCGGGCCUGGUUAGUACUUGGAUGGGAGACCACCUAGGAAGACCAGGUGCUGUAGGCG